UAACAGAAAAGACAGGAACAGAGGAGAUAGAAACAGGAAUACUCGAAGUGUAAUGGAAAUUGUACGAUGGCAUGAGGCCGGAAUAUAUACUCCGGACAUGGGAACGUCUUCUAACUAGGACGCACCUGUUUUCGCGUGAGAGUCAUCGACCUUGGAGAGCUGAUUCAUUUUUUACUAAUAUGUAAAGAUUAUUUUUUGUUAAAUCUAUAAGAACUAAUACAAAACCCUCUAAGGAGUGAGAGGAUAAUAUAAUAUUUUUUCUUGAAUAUAGCAUGGAAAAUAUUGUGGUGGCUGACGAGAGAAGUGCGAUUGCUGGAUAUAGAGCUAUGAUUAGAGGGGUGAGG